GACGAACGCUGGCGGCGUGCCUAAUACAUGCAAGUAGAACGCUGAAGGAGGAGCUUGCUUCUCUGGAUGAGUUGCGAACGGGUGAGUAACGCGUAGGUAACCUGCCUGGUAGCGGGGGAUAACUAUUGGAAACGAUAGCUAAUACCGCAUAAGAGUAGAUGUCGCAUGACAUUUGCUUAAAAGGUGCAAUUGCAUCACUACCAGAUGGACCUGCAUUGUAUUAGCUAGUUGGUGAGGUAACGGCUCACCAAGGCAACGAUACAUAGCCGACCUGAGAGGGUGAUCGGCCACACUGGGACUGAGACACGGCCCAGACUCCUACGGGAGGCAGCAGUAGGGAAUCUUCGGCAAUGGACGGAAGUCUGACCGAGCAACGCCGCGUGAGUGAAGAAGGUUUUCGGAUCGUAAAGCUCUGUUGUAAGAGAAGAACGAGUGUGAGAGUGGAAAGUUCACACUGUGACGGUAUCUUACCAGAAAGGGACGGCUAACUACGUG
rnacentral:rRNA from 1 species